GUGAAAAUCAAACAGUUCUGUGUUUUCAUGUCUGUGGUCUGUGGUUUAAUACAGAUGAUUCAGAUUUCCUCUCCACUUGCUCGAAAUAUUUUGCGUAACUAUAGAAAUAUCGUGGGAGUGGAAGGGAACUCCUUCUGAAUCUGAUUCAGGGGGUUCCCUCAUUUCAGAACACUUCUCCUCAGGGGCGUUUAUGUAAUCACCACAUCCCAAGUUCUUUUUCCUUCCAAACAUGUGAAGUGAAUUACAGGACUACAGCGCACACUGCACAGAAUCUCCUUACAGAACCAAACAGAACCAAACAGAACCAAACAGAACCAAACAGAGCUAAACAGAGCUAAACAGAGCUAAACAGAACCAAACAGAACCAAACAGAGCUAAACAGAGCUAAACAGAGCUAAACAGAGCUAAACAGAGUUAAACAGAACCAAACAGAACCAAACAGAGCUAAACAGAGCUAAACAGAGCUAAACAGAACCAAACAGAGUUAAACAGAGCUAAACAGAGCUAAACAGAGCUAAACAGAGCUAAACAGAGCUAAACAGAACCAAACAGAACCAAACAGAACCAAACAGAGCUAAACAGAGCUAAACAGAGCUAAAACAGAACCAAACAGAGUUAAACAGAGCUAAACAGAGCUAAACAGAGCUAAACAGAGCUAAACAGAGCUAAACAGAAGCUAACAGAGCUAAACAGAACCAAACAGAACCAAACAGAGCUAAACAGAGCUAAACAGAGCUAAACAGAACCAAACAGAGUUAAACAGAGCUAAACAGAGCUAAACAGAACCAAACAGAGUUAAACAGAACCAAACAGAACCAAACAGAACCAAACAGAGUUAAACAGAGUUAAACAGAGUUAAACAGAGCUAAACAGAGCUAAACAGAACCAAACAGAACCAAACAGAACCAACAGAGCUAACAGAGUUAAACAGAGUUAAACAGAACCAAACAGAACCAAACAGAACCAAACAGAAACAAACAGAGCUAAACAGAGUUAAACAGAGUUAAACAGAACCAAACAGAACCAAACAGAACCAAACAGAGCUAAACAGAGUUAAACAGAGUUAAACAGAACCAAACAGAGCUAAACAGAGUUAAACAGAGUUAAACAGAGUUAAACAGAGUUAAACAGAACCAAACAGAACCAAACAGAACCAAACAGAGUUAAACAGAGCCAAACAGAACCAAACAGAACCAAACAGAGUUAAACAGAGUUAAACAGAGUUAAACAGAGUUAAACAGAACCAAACAGAACCAAACAGAACCAAACAGAGUUAAGCAGAGCUAACAGGAACUAACAGGAACAUGACCUUGCUGUAUAUUUACAGUUUAGUGAUCAGUGUGAGGUGAAACGUUUCUACACGUCUACAGCGGACCAGUCCGUCUGUUACAUUUUUCUCUUUAUUAUUAGUUUGUGGGGUUUUUUCAUUAUAUUUUAUAUCAUUUUUAUUAUUUUUAUUGUCUUUUUUGAUGUGUUUUUGUAUUUUUAAUCUAAAGUGAGCUUGUGCUCGCUGUAUAAAACUAUCAAAACAUUAUUAUUAUUAUUAUUAUUAUUAUUAUUAUUAUUAUUAUUACUGUUGUGAGCAGUAAAAACUAAAAUACAAGAACUAAAUGAAUUUUAAAAUUCAGUUAAAAAACACAAUUAAUUAAAAAGUAAGUAAAUAAAAAUAAUUCAGUUUUUUGGUUGUCAGAUGUUUUUGAUUAGAUAUUUUUGAUUAGAUGUUUUUGUUGUCAGUGUCACGUAUCGAGGUUGAGGCAGAAGCAAGUGCAGAUAAUGCGUUUAUUUAAACAAACGUGCUAUAAGACAAAGACACUAAGACAACGUGGUAUAACACUGCGGCAUGACACAAAACACCGAGACAUAAACUACAAGAGUCUAGGACAACGAAAGACACGCAAACACUGCAGACAUGGACUAUACACACACACACACACACACACACACACACACACACACACACACACACACACACACACACACACACACACACACACACACACGAGUGCUCAUUAACAAAACGUGAGUCAGGUGCAGGUGGUCAUGUGACAGCUAGUGCAGUGCAGUGGCUGAUGGGACGUGGAGUCCAGAGUUUCUUGAUACAUGACAGUCAAAUGUUUUUGGUUGUCAGAUGUUCUUGAUUAGAUAUUUUUGAUUAGAUGUUUUGGUUAUCAGAUGUUUUUGAUGAGAUGUUUUUAUUAGAUGUUUUUUAUUAGAUGUUUUUGAUGAGAUGUUUUUGAUGAGAUGUUUUUGGUUGCCAGAUGUUCCCUGGAGAACCUGCUGUUCUUCUACCUCUGCAGACAAAAUCUGCAGGCCUCCAUGAUGUGUGUAUUUUAUUUAUUCGUCUAUUUAUUUAUUUAUUAAAUCAGAAAUGUGGUAUAACAAAAUACAAAACGUUGUCUGGGACACGGUGUGUUUCAUUUGUCUGGGGGUUUUACUGCAAUUUUGGGAAAUCCUUUUUUUUCCCCCCCUGUUAAGCUCAUCUAUACGUAUUUAAAUAGGUAUACAAAUUUAUAUUUAAAAAAUGUAUUAGAAAUUUGGACUAUUACUUAACAAAAUACAAACAUUUCAAUACAGAUAUAAAAUGAUUAACCUGAAUGUUCAUUGCUGAUGUUUGUUGUUCUUCAUCGUUAUUAAAUGAAGAUCAGACGGACGCUAGAAUUAAUUUGUUGGUAUUUGUUGUAUAUUGUCUUUUUCCAGUGGUCCUGUGGCGUAGUGUUGGGGUUCUCUCUUUAUUUAUUAUUGAGAAGGGGAUUUUUCCCAUUCUUUCAUUUAGACUUGACGAAUUCCCGCCCACCCGUGACCUC
ensembl:lncRNA